rnacentral:rRNA from 1 species
CAGUCGCCGCGGUAAUACGUAGGGUGCAAGCGUUAAUCGGAAUUACUUGGCGUAAAGCGUGCGCAGGCGGUUAUAUAAGACAGAUGUGAAAUCCCCGGGCUCAACCUGGGAACUGCAUUUGUGACUGUAUAGCUAGAGUACGGCAGAGGGGGAUGGAAUUCCGCGUGUAGCAGUGAAAUGCGUAGAUAUGCGGAGGAACACCGAUGGCGAAGGCAAUCCCCUGGGCCUGUACUGACGCUCAUGCACGAAAGCGUGGGGAGCAAACAGGAUUAGAUACCCCAGUAGUCCCUGUCUCUUAUAC